rnacentral:lncRNA from 1 species
CGCGGGCGGAGGCUUCCGGGGCUGGGGGCGGUGCCACGUGCAGUGCCGGCGGCGCACGGCAGAGGGCGUAGAGGAGCUACCGCCGCCCUCCCGGAUCCCACGGCGCGGUCCGCGACGCCCGCCCUGCCGCCGCCUGGCCGAAGCCUCUCCAAGGCCAAGGCCACCCUCGGCCCCGCCCCGCCGCAACCGCCGCCCCGGAGUGUCGGUCGAAGAUCACCCUAGGCCCACGCCCUCUGCCCGCCCCGGACGCGCCACCCCUUCCUGGGCCUCCCUCCCUCCUUCCGCUCCAGGUCAGCCCCACAUUUCUCCCUGGAGCUCUGAGAGUCUUCCAGAAAAAGUUCCUGAGGAGAGCUCACUGCUGGAGGUCUUGGUCUCUCACACCCUUGGAGCUCAUCUACCCAAGUGAGGCUGAGUGCCCUCCGCCAGUGCAGACAGACCCAGUCCGUGUUGAUGCAAAACCAGAUGAAGAAAAUGAGGCCCAGGAUGGACCUUGUUCUAUCUGGAAAAAGACAGAAAAGGGACCUUAGGACUGGAAAGGCAACUAUAGGAGCAGCACCCCCCUGGUGGCGUUGGGGACCCAAGGACAAAGGAUGUACUCAACCUUACCAGCCACAGGACAAAACCAAGGCAGCAGAUGAAAGAAGGGCUGCAAAGACAGCAGUCGCUAGGGAAACAUGGAAAGUCCAGAUUUAGGCUGAAGAAACAGGGCCUCUUAAGGAGGGGGGUUACCUGCAGGAGAAGUGAUGUGAACCACAAGAAACC